rnacentral:rRNA from 1 species
AGUGAACGCUGGCGGUAGGCCUAACACAUGCAAGUCGAACGGCAGCACAGUAAGAGCUUGCUCUUACGGGUGGCGAGUGGCGGACGGGUGAGGAAUACAUCGGAAUCUACUUUUUCGUGGGGGAUAACGUAGGGAGACUUACGCUAAUACCGCAUACGACCUACGGGUGAAAGCAGUGGAUCUUCGGACCUUGCGCGAUUGAAUGAGCCGAUGUCGGAUUAGCUAGUUGGCGGGGUAAAGGCCCACCAAGGCGACGAUCCGUAGCUGGUCUGAGAGGAUGAUCAGCCACACUGGAACUGAGACACGGUCCAGACUCCUACGGGAGGCAGCAGUGGGGAAUAUUGGACAAUGGGCGCAAGCCUGAUCCAGCCAUACCGCGUGGGUGAAGAAGGCCUUCGGGUUGUAAAGCCCUUUUGUUGGGAAAGAAAAGCAGCAGGUUAAUACCCCGCUGUUCUGACGGUACCCAAAGAAUAAGCACCGGCUAACUUCGUG